rnacentral:rRNA from 1 species
CACGGGGGGAGCAAGCGUUGUUCGGAAUCACUGGGCGUAAAGGGCGUGUAGGCGGUUCGGUAAGUGGAAUGUGAAAUCCCUCGGCUCACCCGAGGACCUGCAUCCCAAACUGCCGAGCUUGAGUAUGGGAGAGGAUGAGGGAAUUCCUGGUGUAGCGGUGAAAUGCGUAGAUAUCAGGAGGAACACCGGUGGCGAAGGCGCUCAUCUGGCCCAAUACUGACGUGAGGCGCGAAAGCUAGGGGAGCAAACGGG